rnacentral:rRNA from 1 species
AUGCCACUAUCAAACGAAGUCUUACCUGCUGUGCUGGCCCCAAAAGUUACCGCAGCACGUCAUCAGGUCCAUGAGCUCAUUGAUUUAAUAGCAGAGGUUUCGGCCGAAGUCGGGUUUCGACGCUGUGCUAUCGGGGAGCGCAACGCUGGCCAAAUCGUGGGUGCUGGGAACUUGAUGGCUGAGAUUGAGGGGGCCCAUCGAGUUCUUGUGCCCACCGUUGCAUUUGUUACAGGGCUGUUCAUGGUGUACGAGUCUCAGUUUGGAGAUAUGAUGGGGACUGAGCAGGAAGUAGAGAUGAAGAACAACCUGGCCCAAGCCAAGCUUGCAGUUCAAGUUCUGAACCGUUCACUUUUUCUAUUGGGAUCCAAUGUUUUGGAAUUUGACCUUGUUGUGAGCAACUACUCGCUCUUGGACCCAACAGCACAUGCUGAUGCAGAAAGUUCACUGUGCAAGGCAGCUAAUAUGUGCAGGUUAAUUCAGACCUUUGCCGGCACUCUGCAGUUCCACCUGAAGGUUUUUGAAGGGAUCUACAGUUCUGGUGUGUUGUUUCCUCACCCCCAGUAA